rnacentral:rRNA from 1 species
AACGAACGCUGGCGGCAGGCUUAACACAUGCAAGUCGAGCGCCCCGCAAGGGGAGCGGCAGACGGGUGAGUAACGCGUGGGAAUCUACCCAUCUCUACGGAAUAACGCAUGGAAACGUGUGCUAAUACCGUAUACGUCCUUCGGGAGAAAGAUUUAUCGGAGAUGGAUGAGCCCGCGUUGGAUUAGCUAGUUGGUGGGGUAAAGGCCUACAAAGGCGACGAUCCAUAGCGGGUCUGAGAGGAUGACCAGCCACACUGGGACUGAGACACGGGCCAGACUCCUACGGGAGGCAGCAGUGGGGAAUAUUGGCCAAUGGGCGCAAGCCUCAUACAGCCACGCCGCGUGAGUGAUGAAGGCCCUAGGGUUGUAAACCUCUUUCGCCGGUGAAGAUGAAGUCGGUAACCGGAGAAGAAGCCCCGGCUAACUUCGUGCCAGCCGCCGCCGUAACAC